UCUGCAUCAUUACCUCCCUCCGCCAUCUUCUUCUCACUGCCGUAAAGCGGAACGCACGCCAUUGACUGGACUGUCGUAAAGGUCGCAAAGUCAAGUAUUCCAGUUUAGUUCAGAAUUAUGUCUGCAGGUUAAUCCAAGAGGUAAAUACCGUACAAUUACAUUAAAUACACUAAACUACUAGAGAAGUCACACUGUUUACCUCACUGUUUACCUCCACAUUUCAGUGAUAUGAAGAUUGGAACUGAAGAUAGGACUAAGAUAAUGUUUUUUGGAGAUAAACAAGAAAAAUAUUGUUUAAAAAACAAGGCUGCCACAGACAGGAGGAGAAGAUGGGAAAAUGUGACUCAGAGGCAAAACUACAAUGCACUAAUUCAGAUGCCUCAAGGCUUCAGGGAUGUUUCGAUGGAAGUUUCCUGCCGUCUGAACGCGGCAAUGUCAGCAUCCAGCAACCACAGCUAUAGCAGUAAGGGGACAAAUAUGGCACAGUGUUCUGAGCUGGAUUACCAGAGUAGAGGAGAAAAACGGCGAGAGAAAACAGAAGCGUCGUUGAGCUUUCAGCGCCUGGGUUUUCGGCACUUUAUUGGU